rnacentral:rRNA from 1 species
UACGGAGGGUGCAAGCGUUAAUCGGAAUUACUGGGCGUAAAGCGUGCGUAGGUGGUUGAUUAAGUUAUCUGUGAAAUCCCUGGGCUUAACCUGGGCAGGUCAGAUGAUACUGGUUGACUCGAGUAUGGGAGAGGGUAGUGGAAUUUCCGGUGUAGCGGUGAAAUGCGUAGAGAUCGGAAGGAACACCAGUGGCGAAGGCGGCUACCUGGCCUAAUACUGACACUGAGGCACGAAAGCGUGGGGGAGCAAACAGG